GCUGGGCAUGGUGGCUUAUGCCUGUAAUCCCAGCACUUUGGGAGGCCAAGGCGGGUGGAUCACCUGAGGUCAGGAGUUCAAGACCAGCCUGACCAACAAGGUGAAACCCUGUCUUUA
rnacentral:SRP_RNA from 2 species